GGCAGUACGGGGGCAACCCUGGUGGUGAGUGGCGAACGGGUGAGUAACAUAUCGGAACGUGCCCUGGAGGGGGGGAUAACUAGUCGAAAGAUUAGCUAAUACCGCAUACGAUCUACGGAUGAAAGUGGGGGAUCGCAAGACCUCAUGCUCGUGGAGCGGCCGAUAUCUGAUUAGCUAGUUGGUGGGGUAAAGGCCUACCAAGGCAUCGAUCAGUAGCUGGUCUGAGAGGACGACCAGCCACACUGGGACUGAGACACGGCCCAGACUCCUACGGGAGGCAGCAGUGGGGAAUUUUGGACAAUGGGCGCAAGCCUGAUCCAGCAAUGCCGCGUGAGUGAAGAAGGCCUUCGGGUUGUAAAGCUCUUUUGUCAGGGAAGAAACGGUGGAGGUUAAUACCUUCUGCUAAUGACGGUACCUGAAGAAUAAGCACCGGCUAACUACGUGCCAGCAGCCGCGGUAAUACGUAGGGUGCAAGCGUUAAUCGGAAUUACUGGGCGUAAAGCGUGCGCAGGCGGUUGUGCAAGACAGAUGUGAAAUCCCCGGGCUCAACCUGGGAAUUGCAUUUGUGACUGUACGGCUAGAGUGUGUCAGAGGGGGGU
rnacentral:rRNA from 1 species